GCGCUCGUAGCUCAAUUGGAUAGAGCGUCGGACUACGAAUCCGAAGGUUGCAGGUUCGACUCCUGCCGGGCGCA
rnacentral:tRNA from 1 species